rfam:Oryza brachyantha chromosome 9, whole genome shotgun sequence.
CUAUAAUAUGCUAGCGGUACCAAUAAAAUUGGAACGAUACAAACAAUUAGUAUGGCCCCUAUGCAAGGAUGACACGCAUAAACCAAGAAAUGGUCCAAAUUUUU